UAAUGCUAUUGUCCCUUGUAAUUAAAUGGUUUAAAGGGUGGUGAAGUUGAGAAGAGUUGGCAUACUCAUACAAACAAAAGAAAACAAACAUAAAAAAUAUAUAGUGCUAGUGGGUGAGAGAAAAGAGAAAUAGCUCAUGGGAGAGUGAAGAGAAGCAAAGGAAGGAAAAGCUUAACCUCAAUUUAGGGAGUUCACUGCAAUCCAUAUUUUCAGGUAGGAUACGAAUCAUAGAUGAUGUGUUCGGAUCGCUGUUGCUUUGCUAUUUAUUUGGAGUCGCUCUGUUAGGAUGUUGUUGGGAGAAACUUUUAUUUAAUUAUGUUGUUAAAUUUUUAUAACAAUUGAACUAUGUCACUUGAUUCAGUAUUUUCAAUUCGGACUUUGAAACUUA